rnacentral:rRNA from 1 species
UACGGAGGGUGCGAGCGUUACUCGGAAUUACUGGGCGUAAAGCGUGCGCAGGCGGCCCGUUAAGACAGGCGUGAAAUCCCUGGGCUCAACCUAGGAAUUGCGCUUGUGACUGGCGGGCUAGAGUACGGUAGAGGGGGGUGGUAUUCCUGGUGUAGCAGUGAAAUGCGUAGAGAUCAGGAGGAACACCGAUGGCGAAGGCGGCCCCCUGGGCCUGUACUGACGCUCAUGCACGAAAGCGUGGGGAGCAAACAGG